ensembl:lncRNA
AAAGUGCUGGGGUUACAGGAGUGAGCCACUGCACCCGGCCAACUAUCUACUUUCAUCUACCAUCCAUCAUCUGUCUAUUGAUCAACUGUCCUUCUACAAAAUACUAUCCUCUGUCAAUCCACCACCCAUCAUCCACCAUUCAUAAUGCACCACCCAUCCAUCCGUCAUUCACCAUCCACCAUUACCUUCCAUCUAUCUACCAUCCAUCAUCCAACAUCCUUCUAUCCACCAAUCUGCCCACUUAUCCAUCCAUCAUUCACCCAUCCUCCAUCCAUCCAUUCACCUAUCCAUCAUCCACUCAUUCACCACCCAUCCAUCUACCACCCACUCAUUCACCAUUCAUUUACCCACCAUCUAUUCAUGCAUACGUCCACCAUCCAUCUAUCUACCAUUCAUCCAUCCACCACCCACUCCCACUAUCCAUCCAUUCACCAUCUAUCCAUCCACACAUUCACCAUCCACCCAUCUACCACCUACCAUCCAUCCAUUCAUCCACCAGCCAUCCACACAUUCACCAUUCACUCAUCCACCAUCCAUUCUCCACCAUCCAUCUAUUCAUCCAUCCAUCUACCCAUCCACAUAUCCACCAUCCAUUCAUCCAUCAUCCACAAUUCACUCAUCCACCAUCCAUUCAUCCAUCAUCCACAAUUCACUCAUCCACCGUUCAUUCAUCCAUCCACCCAUCCAUUCGCACAUCCACCAUCCACCAUCCAUUCAUCCACCAUCCACCCAUCAUUCAGUCACCCACCAUCCACCAUCCAUCCAUCCUCCCAUCCAUGUGUCCAUUCACCCAUUCGCCAUCCACUCAUCCACCACCCACCAUCUAUCAUCGCUCAUCCACUAUCUACCAUCCACCAUCCAUCCAUCCACCAUCCACUUACCCACAAUCUGCCAUCCACCAUUAGCCAUUCAGCCAUCCAUUCAUCCACCACCCAUCCAUCACCAUUCACAUCCGCCAUCUGCCAUCCACCUAUUCACCAUCCACCAUUCAUUCAUUCACCAUCCAUCCUUCCAUCCACCCACCAUCCACCACCCACCACCCACCAUCCACCAUCUAUCAUCCACUAUCUACCAUCUGCCACCCAUCCAUCCACUCAAUAUUCACCAGCUCCAUUAACUUGUUCACUAUCCACCACCCACCAACCACCAUCCACCUACCAUCCAUCAUCCACCAUUUAUCCAUUAUCUACUUAUCUACCAUCCAUUACCCUUCCAUUUACUAUCCCAUCCACCAUCCGCUAUCCACCCAUUAUCCACUAUCCACUAUCUCUUCACUAUCCACCAUCCAUCCAUCCAUCUCCAUCCACAAUUCACCAUUUAUGCAACCAUCAUCCACCAUCUAUCCAUCUACAUCUACCUAUUCACCAUCCACCAUCCAUCCAUUCAGCAUUCAUCACUCACCAAACACCCACCAUUUAAUACCCACUUCUUUUUUUUUAGAGAUGGGGUUUCACUCUUAUUGCCCAGGCUUGAGUGCAAUGGCGUGAUCUCUGCUCACCACAACCUCCACCUUCCGGGUUCAAGCGAUUCUCCUGCCUUAGCCUUUGGAGUAGUGGGGAUUACAGGCAUGUGCCACCACGCCCAGCUAAUUUUGUAUUUUUAGUAGAG